rnacentral:rRNA from 1 species
CAGCCGCCGCGGUAAUACCGAGGGUGCAAGCGUUAAUCGGAAUUACUGGGCGUAAAGCGCGCGUAGGUGGUUUGUUAAGUUGGAUGUGAAAUCCCCGGGCUCAACCUGGGAACUGCAUCCAAAACUGGCAAGCUAGAGUAUGGUAGAGGGUGGUGGAAUUUCCUGUGUAGCGGUGAAAUGCGUAGAUAUAGGAAGGAACACCAGUGGCGAAGGCGACCACCUGGACUGAUACUGACACUGAGGUGCGAAAGCGUGGGGAGCAAACAGGAUUAGAUACCCCGGUAGUCCCUGUCUCUUAUAC